UGGUGUGGACCCCAGCUACAGUGCAG
rnacentral:piRNA from 1 species